UCCGUAGGCGGGUAAUUAAGUCAGAGGUGAAAUCCCACAGCUUAACUGUGGAACUGCCUUAGAUACUGGUUAUCUUGAGUUUUAGUGAAGUAGAUAGAAUGUGUAGUGUAGCGGUGAAAUGCAUAGAUAUUACACAGAAUACCGAUUGCGAAGGCAGUCUACUAACUAACAACUGACGCUGAGGCACGAAAGCGUGGGGAGCGAACAGGAUUAGAUACCCUGGUAGUCC
rnacentral:rRNA from 1 species